rnacentral:rRNA from 1 species
GAUGAACGCUGGCGGCGUGCCUAACACAUGCAAGUCGAACGGACGAGAAGAGCUUGCUCUUCGAGUUAGUGGCGGACGGGUGAGUAACGCGUGAGCAAUCUGCCUUUCAGAGGGGAGUAACAUUGGGAAACCGGGUAGCUAAUACCGCAUGAUGUGCGAGGGUCGCAUGACUCUUGUACCAAAGGAGCAAUCCGCUGAAAGAUGAGCUCGCGUCUGAUUAGCUAGUUGGUGAGGUAACGGCCCACCAAGGCGACGAUCAGUAGCCGGACUGAGAGGUUGAACGGCCACAUUGGAACUGAGAUACGGUCCAGACUCCUACGGGAGGCAGCAGUGGGGGAAUAUUGGGGCAAUGGGCGCAAGCCUGACCCAGCAACGCCGUGUGAAGGAAGAAGGUCUUCGGAUUGUAAACUUUUGUCUUAUGGGACGAUAAUGACGGUACCAUAGGAGGAAGUCACGACUAACUACGUG